ensembl:lncRNA
CAGGUGGAGGAUUAGCCUAUUGAGCUGCGGCGCUGGCUGAUGUGUACACAAUUCUUAACAUACACUCCAAAAAUCUUAAAAAGUAAUGAAUUUUUUUCUUAAAUUUGAUAUUAUUUUAUUUUGAAGAUACAUAUUUUUAAUUUAUCUUAUUCUUAAAGGCUUAAUGUUCCACAAAAACACAGUAGAGUUACAAAGGAAGAAUAUAUGCAAGGACAAUAAAGAGUAAUCAAAUUUAAAAAUAACUAUACUCAUCCACAGUAAAUUUGCAGUUUUCAGGCUCCUCUCAGAAAUGGUGUAUCCAGGAGUAUCUGCCCAGCUGUAAAUGUCACGUGUUUUAAUGUUUAUUACAUGCUUUGGAGAGUUAUGUGAUCACCACAGAAUAAAGUCAGCAUAUUUGCAUUGAUGAAAAGAUAUUUUAUGAGAUUCCUCAUUCUCCACCAACACAGACAACUGGUGAGUUAAACUUUUCUUAAGAGAUUUGCCUUUUAUUACAUGUCUGUAUAAUUGGAUUCAUACAGUAGAACAGUGUUUAGUCUUUUGAUUGAUUUCUUUUUUUUAAAGAUUUAUUUAUUUUACUUGAAAGUCAGAGUUACACAGAGAGAGAAUGAGAGGCAGAGAGAGAGGUCUUCCAUCCACUGAUUCACUCCCUAAUUGGCCACAAUGGUUGUAGCUGCACUGAUCCGAAGCCAGGAACCAGGAGCUUCUUCCAGGUCUCACAUGCAAGUGCAGGGGCUCAAGGACUUGGGCCUUCUGCUGCUGCUUUCCCAGGCCACAGCAGAGAGCUGGAUAGGAAGUGGAGCAGCCAGGACUUGAACCGGCUCCCAUAUGGGGUGCUGGCACUACAGGCUUGUUUUUUAAUGGUACCAAAUAACCUGGUUCUGUCAGUUUACAUUCCUUCAGAAUGUGAUGUGGGAGAGUGGACUUGAGGCAGCAGAGAUUGGCAGGGAAAGUGACUAGGUUCUGCCUCUUUGGGAAAGCUGAUGACUUUGUGUGUCCCCGCAGCAGCAGACAGAGUGGCAGUGGUACUUGCGCCAGAGCUUGGAGGUGGUGGCCAAAGUGAUGGAGCUCCUUCCCACGCAUGCCUUCUCCACACUGUUCCCAGUUCUUCACGACAAUUUAGAAGUCUAUUUGGGAUUACAGCAAUUUAUAGUUACUUCAGGGUCAGGUAAACUGGAUUUUAUUUUCUAAUUUCAUAAAACUAAAAAAGAAAACUGGACUGAUAGUAGUUCCUGCCACCUGUGCUGUUAGACUGUGAUUUGUCCACUGCAGCUCCACCCUCAUCCCUGCACAAAAUCUCCCCUCACUUCUAAACAGGGAAAACUAAAAACCCACACUCAGCUGUGGACAGGUGAAACAGGUUAUAACAGUGUUUCCUAGCAGAGUUUGGGAUGGUAGCUCAUUUGGAGCAAAGAGGUAAGACUUUUAAUAUCCUGGGGUAUUUCCUUAGGUCCUUUGAGUCAACAAGUACGGAAGAAGGUGACUUUGGACUUUGCUGUACUCUGGCUGGCCUGGGUGCUAGAAUCAGGGGACUUGGGAGCUGCCUCCGAGCGUGCUGAGUCGUGUGACACGCCCUGGGCAGCAGUGCUCUCUGGCUCUCCUGUUGUGAGUGGCAGGGGAGGCCCUGACUGGGGCUGGCUGGGAAGGCUUUGGCUGCAGGUUCCAGGCCUCGCCAUGCGGGGUGCGGGAUUAGCGUGUUUUAGUUUUUCAUUGAUGACUCUUUAAGUGCCAGGUGCUGUGUUACUUACUUAGGUUGUUGAAGUCUCUCAGCUGCCUUGUGAGGUGUUAGGUGUACUUAGUAGAUACUUCUGUUUCAGAGAAGAGGAAAUUGCUCUUCAGAGACGUUCAUUUCUCAUGGGUCACAUAGCUGGUUAAUGCUACUCCCAAGAUGAUGUUUGAGGGUGAUGGGACUCAACAUGUCCCAAGUGUAGGCUCUGGUUUUGUAGAGGGGCCAGGACAGCAUACACAGUGUUUUGUAAAAGGCACUUUCAAAAGAAACAUGCCUUUAAAGUACACUGGCCGCACUCAUGAAAAUCAUUUGACCAUGCACAAAUGCUGCC